ACCCACCUCGGGAUCCCCUCCUGAUCCAUUCCAACCAACCAGAUCGCACCGACCGCCCCCUCGUUUUCAGCUUCGAACCAACCCGAGCCCCCUCGAUCCACUCCUCGCCCGAGCCUCGAGCUCCUCCUCAUCCCCGUGUUCGCCCUGACGCCCGAGCGAGGAGUUCCCCUCGGCCCCGUUGCCUGCAGCUCCUCCAGGCCUCCCGUCCGCUGUCACCCGUGCUCCCGCGACCGGAGCCCAUGACCAGCAGCGCCGCCAUGGGGACCUCGCAGGAGCUUUGCGCGGGAUGCCUCCUCGCCCUCCCUCUUCCCCUUCCUCCCGCGACCGGAUCCGGUCACCCCAACGCCCUACACCCUCGUGCCCCCGUCGGACCUCCUUCCUCCAUGCCAAGUCCCACCGGCGCCAUGUCCCACCUUCGCCUCCGACCUCGUAUCCUCCCGCUCGCCUGCAAAUGACGCGAGGCGUCUCUACCUCCUUGCGUUGGCCAUCGCUAGGCCUCAACGCCCUGAAGCCGUACAUCACCACUAGGGAGGCGUCCCUCGUCCCGCCUCUUCUUGCCGGCUUCGCCAGCCCCUCGGGAAGCAACCGGUGGAGCAGCUCGCUGUCGGGAGACCCCUCCUCGACCUCUAUCGUGCCCAGUUUCUCGCCCUUCGUCCUUCGCCGCCGCGCAGGAGAUCCCCGACGCCGCUGCUCUGCUUCUGCACCCUGUCGAGCAUAGGACCGCGCCCGCAACCCCUGUCUCGCUCGCUCGUCCCGAGCGUUGACCACGACCGCACGCGCCUAGGCCAGCCUCGCCUCGGCCCAGCUGGCUCUGCCUGGCCCAAGCCUCUCCACUGACUAGGCCUUGGCCCAUGGUGAGCAGCCCAGUCCAGCGCCAGCCUGGACGAGUGCCACUUGCCGCGCGAGGCCUCCUCUACUUCGCUCGCAGCCCAGCUACCCAGCGCCUCCUAAGGCCCAAUGUCUGGUAAUGUUGCGGAUUGUGAGGAUUCAUUCGACUAUGCCCGUUCGUCUACUUCAUG